UUCAAUAUACUCGUGACCUAUGCUCUGACACACCCCCAAACCUCGUACUGCCAGGGUAUGAGUGAUAUCGCUUCUCCACUCCUUGUCACGCAGAAGGACGAGGCCCAAGCUUACCUCUGCUUCUGUGCAACAAUGAAAAGACUGAAAAACAAUUUCAAUCUAAAUGGACAGGCUAUAACCACAAAAUUCAAACACCUGUCAGACUUGCUCCAAAUGCACGAUCCAGAGUUACAUUCCUACUUUCAAGAAAUCAAUGCUGGAGACUUGUUCUUCUGUUACAGAUGGAUAUUACUGGAACUAAAGAGGGAAUUUCCAUUUGAGGAUGCUCUGUAUAUGUUGGAGGUGAUGUGGAGCACCUUGCCCCCGGAUCCACCUCAUGGGGAGAUUGCGAUGACGGAUGAGACUUUCUCCAUAGACAACUUAUCUAGGUCACCUUGUUCACCUUCCUUUGGAAUGAAACAGACUGUUUAUGCAAAGCUGUUUGCCAUGAGGAGAAAUCAUUCAGUAUUGAAAAGUAAUGAAGGGGAAACAGAUGCUGAAAAAGAACUGGCCCAAAACAGUGUAAAUAAUAACUCCAGAAUAGAUUCCAACAAUAUUGAGGAAUCAUGUCCCAUUACCAUUUCCCAAGAAUACCCUGCCAUGAAUGAUGUAGAAACACAAAAAAUGGCAGCAAAGAGCUCAUCUAUUGAUGGAUCCUUGAAAAGUCCUUUACAAGAAAUCCAUGAUCUAGAAAAAGACCUUCACAUACAAAGUUCUUUGGACACAGAAGAAAGAUGUAUCCAGGAUCAGCCGGCAUCUGAUGCCAGAGGAAGACUGACCCUGGAAGGGUUAGGUGAUACAUGCACAUGCACCGAUGAAAAUGUAGAGAAGUCAGAGAGUGAUAAUGAACAAUCUCAGUUUGAAAUUUCUUUGGAUGACAGUCCAGAGACUAAACUCAAUACAUCUGCUAAAGCCACAGCUUUGGUAGAAAAACCCACACAUUCCAGUGUUACAGACCAUUCCAAUAAUGGUAGCGAAAGUCCCGAUCUAGAGAAGAGAGCCUGUGAUUUCUCUCCAGAGAACAAUUGUCCUAAACACUCCUCAGAUGAGUGGAACUCUUCUGUAAAGGAAGGCAAAAUUAUACAAAACCAUGAAACAGACUCAGCCUGUUCCAAUUCCUUGUGCAAUAGCGAAUGCGAUUCUUAUUCCGAGGCGCAGGCCACCAUAUCAAACUCAAUGGAAAUUGUUAAGUCUGUAGAUGAUAAGAACGUUGGCCUCCCGCCUCCCAUGGACUUUGGCUGUGGUAACCCUUUCCUGAUGUUUCUGUGCUUGGCCCUCCUUCAGCAGCACAGAGAAAUCAUUCUACAGAAGAAGCUGGAGUACGACGAAAUAGCCAUUAUGUUCGACAAGCUCGUCAGGAAGCACGACGUUCACAAAAUCCUGCAUCACGGCAGACUUCUCUACUCUGAAUAUCUGAGGACGCAACAGAAACUGAAAGAGUCCAGUGAGAGUGACCCAAGUGUGUGAUGAUCUAUGUUGUAUACAUUCAUAUUUUUGCAUGAAUUUUUUUUCAUGCUGAGGGGGGAUUUAUUUCUUUGCCAAACAUUCUAUGUAUUAAAUGUCAGCUUAUAUGAUUUGUUGAGAUUGAAAUAAAGUAUAUUGAAGGUU
rnacentral:misc_RNA from 1 species